UCUAUUUUUAUUUCAGUUGUUAUUAAGAUUAUACGUGCCCUUUGUUCUGCGAGACUUACGAUGAAAAGCAGCGGUCUGCCCUCCGCUCUGUCCCUGCCCCCACCUCCCAGGCACCGGAGGCCGCGGCUGUUAACGAAGACACGGAAGUUGUUUUUUCAUCCUUUGGGAAACAUCACGCUUACACUUUUUAUUUCUUAAUGUUCGCUUUUAGAUACAAUCUACCAUCUCCCUAAUUUGGAAGACAAGAGCUUCCGCUCUGCACACCCUUCCUCCCUGCUUCUCCUGCUGCCAUUUUCCUAACGAUGUUUUGGUAGACAAAUGCUUCAGGGUUCACCGUGUGACCAUGUAAAUAUUAUCAGCAGCCAAGCCAUGUAGAGAAUUAUGCUGACGUUUAUUUCUUGGAUGUCUGUCUGCUUCCCCCAGAAUUAUUAGUUUUCCGGUUAGUUCUGUUUGUUUGCUUGUUUGCUUGGUUGGGGUCUAGGUGCCACCCCCAAUUUACCCCAAACCUUCCCCCAGGAUUUGAGGUCCUCAGGCACCCCUCUGCCUCCUCACCCCCUUUUUUGGAAAUAUUCAUCAUGGAGCCUUCUGAACACAUUUUAUAAUGUCACCCUGCAUGGAAUUAAAAAAUAAUUUUGCUUGAAAAUAUUUCAAGUGAAGACACCGUAUUCGGUUUUUGCCAGUUGCUCCCGAACCCCGCAGUCUGGUGUAGUGGGAUGUGAAGUGGGUGCAAACCGCACCCGAGGUGCCCCGACCGCCCUUCCAGCCCGGUUCUAUCGCUCCAGUCUCCUUCUGUCUAAAACGCUCCAUCUUGCCUUGAUUUCCACACUCGAUGUUUUGAAGAUAACAGGGCAGUUGUUUAGCAGAAUGUUGCUCAAUUUGUGUUUGUCUGUUCCCACGCAAUUAUGCCCCAGUGACAGGCGUCGGGCAGAAACGUCACAGGAGCGACACUGUGCUUUCUCGUUCCUCCUCUCAGGUGCCACACGACUUUGAUUUGUGGGCACUGGUGGUGUCGACUGUGAUCAAUGCACCCUGUGAUGGCUUUCUUCAAUGUCAAGGUGCUUUGUGGUGUUUAGCGGUGGGAGAACGGCAUUUCGAAAACAAGCCCUUGGUGCUAUGUGUGCUGAUUGCUACUGGAGAAUGCUUCCAAACCUUGGACCUGCCUAAUGACUUUCAAAAACUGAGAAAGGAAGGUGGGUAGGAAGAAAGGAAUGUUGACUUUCUCUCUAUCCUGACAUCCCGACUCUGCCUCUGGAAAGAACUGGAAUAAAGAUUAUGGGGGAAGAAAGAACCGUGCCCCAGGCCGAACCACAGGUCCUGGAGGUGAAGAGGGCCUGUGGGCCCCAGACCCUGGCUUCCCACCGCCCUCCAAGGCCUGGUUGAUCCAUCUCAUACAUGCUGUUAGAAACUUUAUAAGCUCCUGAGUUGGGGAGUUAGCAAACUGAUCCUUUGAUGGACCAACUCAGUUACGGUGGGGGUGAGAGGUGAAGGGUGGUCCCUACUCAGACUCUGCGGUCUCCCUGGUACACCCGGAGUAGCUGUUUAUCUGCACUAGGACAACUGGGCUUCUGCGUGAUCUUUCUUCUGACAAAGGUUUAGAAGAAAGACGAAGCCUGGGUGCAAGCCCUCUUCUGCCUCCAGUGUGCUGUGUGGCCCCAGGCAGCCUUCCUGCCUUUUCUGGGCUUCAGCUCCCCACCUGGGAGCAGAGAGAUCAGGUGCUAAGCUCUGUGCAUCUCUGCUCAGGCGUGUGGAACAUAUAGCUGGGGAUCGAUGGGGUCCUCUUUGGCCAUCAGCUGCCGGGGGCAGGGAAGAAAGGAGACACCUUCCCUUCCCUCUCCCAGAGAAACAGGUCCGCUGGCUGGGCCUGGGCCCGCAGCCAAGAGGAAACGGAGACAAUAAGCCGGAGUCACCCCAGCCAGCCAGGGCAGGUUGUGCAACUUCCGCUCAGCGCCUGCCAACGAGACUUUGGCCCCAGGACUCUGAGCUCUGGGCGGCCCUCAUUCCUCCCCUAGGACCCGGACCACCCAGCUUAGGGGGUAGCGUAGGGGUGGGCGGGGUACUUUCUUUGUCCCAAGGGCAGCCAGGUGGCUCCAGGUUCCCUGAGGAAGGUCCCACUGACAGAAGUCAGAGCACAUGGCCGUAGCAGGACGGUGGAGGAGGACAGCCGAGGGGAGGCUCCAUGUGUGACUGAGCGUGUGCCUGAGUUUGCGUGUGGGUGGUGGCAUGUGUGAGUGUGGUGUGAGAAGCUGUGUCAUCCCCUAGGUCACCUGCACGGGAGCAACACCAGAGGGGUUUCUGGAUGCUGCUCUGUACCCAUGUGGAUGCUGGGGAUAAAUGCUCCAGUCUGCCAGGGUAUGACAUGUGUCUACGCAUGUGAGGACACCUUGGUGAGCUGAUGUGUGAGUUAGCUGUGUGUGCACAUGCAUGUUAUGGGGCAUGUAGCAGACUGCAGGGGAUAUUGUGCACAUGGGUGUAAUUCCAUGGGGGCACGUGUAACUAUGAGUGUGUGCCGAUGAGUGAGCAUGUGAGUGUGAAUCCAUGUACAUGUGUGUGCAUUGGUGGGUGGGCAUUUCUGCCAUUGGGGGUUUGUGUGUUUAUGUCUGUGUAAGCCCCAGUGGCUGAGCCUGUGGUCUCCGUGGGGGUAUGACAGUGUGUGGACGUGCAUGACAUGCAUGUGAGUGCAUGUAAAGCAUGGCUGCUCAUUUACAUGCUGGUGCAGGAUGUAACAUGCCGGGACCCUGGGCCUGGGUCCAGACUGUCAUGUGCAUCACCCCUGUUGAUCCCACCAAACUGUGGAUGAUUGGCAUCUUUCCGGCAAGUCUAUUUCGAGUCCCAACUUCCCACCUAUACUGGAGGGUAAGUUGGAUGGGGGGAAUUAUAGGCUCCUCCCACCUCUGUGAGGGCCUGUACCCCAAAGAACAUGAGAGCCCAGAAAUCCUAAGAUUUACCUUGGUCUCUGGGUGAAGGGGCAGAAGGCUUCGAAGUCACAGAAAAAGUCAGGGACUCUGAGCCCAAGACAGAGCACACCCAGGAAGGGCUGGACGCCAGUCAGAGCCCCCUAUCUGGCGGCCUCUACCGUGGCUGGAGGUGGGGGGCUGGCUGAAUGACCGCUGGAAGGGAAGAAGGGGGUCGGGCAGCCACGGCCCAAGCAUCGCUCCCAUAGGCGUCCUGGGCUGGAGGAGGUGGUGACACACCUUCCAGUGGUCAAAUCACAGCAGCAGCCACCUCAGGGAAUCGGUGGUUUUGUAGGGGCCAAAGUCACAAAGACUGCAGCCAGUGCUGGAAAAAUGGCAACCCCCACCCCCCACUUCUCACUAAGCAGAGAGAGUGAGAAACAUUCUCUGGCCUCUCCUCGCCUCCCACCCUAUCAUCUCCCCGCCAGUGUUUCCUGUCGGCCCAACCCCAGCUGGACGCCAGUGGGCAGAGGAGCCUGGGAAAAGCAGCUCGCAGGAGAUGGGCCGUCGCUUAGGAAAGGAAAUAACAAUGCCCAGCACACUCUCCUGUGAUGCACUCUGCAGGGGCUGAGAACUUGGGAAAAGCAAAGAAAUACUUGGCACCCUCCCCAGGACUAUGGAUAUGAUUAACUUUUGAUAAAAGAGUUUAAUGGACUGCGCAUGUGCCCGAGCACACAGGGUUCCCAGCGCCACGUGCUCCCGGAGUGUGGCUUCAUUCCGUCCCCACCACGGCCCCACAAAAUCGGGACAAAGCUUCCUGUGCUGGAGUAGAGGAAACAGAAGCUUUCAGAAGGAAGUGGCUUCUCCCGGGCCCCACAGCUGCAGAAUGGCUCACACCCAUGUCAGCGUGACUCCGGGGACCCGGAGACUGGGUGAAAAGCACUAAGUCAGUUUGGAGUCCGCUCCAAACAGUUGGGAGCAGAUGCUGACUACCAGUCUGGGCUGGAGGCCCUGGGUAAGAUUCUGAGGAGAGAAGUGUUAACCGGGUGGGGCCAGCUGGGGAGACAGCUGGUGGUGGUGAACCCCGGAGCCUCCUGGAAGGGUUAAGAGCAGGACUUGAGAGCCCGGCAGCCUGGGUCGCAUCCGCCCUGCCGCCGCCACCUGUGUGCCUGGCUCUUUCUGCGCCGUGGUUUCCUCAUGUGUCAAGUGGUGUAAUAGUGAUAGUGGUGCCCGUUUCACAGGGCUGCUGUGAGAACUGAAAGUUGCGUAUUUGAUGCUAUUAGGUGUUGCUCUUAUUUCCAUUUCACAAGUGAGGAGCCCGAGGCUCCGAGAAGUUAAGUCAGUGAAGACGGCACUGCUGGGAAAUAAAUCUUGCUGAAGUCUGCCCUGAGUCCGGGGCCCUCUGCGGCGCCCCUUCAUUCCCUGCCUGCGCCCCACAGAGUCUUUGCCCACCCUCUUUGAUGCACACGACUCCUUCCCACUGUCAUAUGAGUCCUCUCUCCUCUUGUCCAGCUCCACUCUGAUAAGCCACCUCCCCAGGCACCUCCAGGCCCGGGGGUGCCUCCAGCUUCCUGCUGUGGCUGAUCUCUGGGCGGUGGCACCAUCCUCCCCCAUCCGCUCCGCUGCCCUGGAGUAACCGGCCCCUGUACUAACUUCCCUCUGUCUGAAACUUAGGGUAUUUCGAGAU